GACGGGGGGUGCGAGUGUUGUUCGGAAUUACUGGGCGUAAAGCGCGUGUAGGUUGAUAUAUAAGUCUGUGAUUAAAGACCGGGGCUCAACUUCGGGAAUGUUGCAGAAACUGUAUAUCUAGAGAUCGGAAGAGGUAGACGGAAUUCCUGUAGGAUUAGGGUAAAAUCUGUCGAUAGCAGGAGGAACACCAAAGGCGAAAGCAGUCUACUGGUACGUUUCUGACACUGAGACGCGAAAGCGUGGGUAGCAAACAGG
rnacentral:rRNA from 1 species